rfam:Schistosoma mansoni strain Puerto Rico chromosome 4, complete genome
GCACUGCUGAGGAGUCCUAAAAUAGGACGAAACGGCCGUCCAGUGC